rnacentral:rRNA from 1 species
AGGUUUCCGUAGGUGAACCUGCGGGAGGAUCAUUC